UACGUUAAUUUAAGAGUGGCAUCUUCAAGAUGGCAGCCCCCAUGACUCUCAGAAUUUCUCCUGCAAUUACCAUGUAUAUUUUACAAUUUUGUCUAUUGAUUGCAUCUUUUGUUUCAAUAAGCAAUGGAAAUCGGAAGGUUGCUGAACCCAAGCUCCCCAUCCAUGAUCCAGAAGGGUUGUCAACUUACGUUCUUGUGAUUGAGCAUUCUUUUGAUCAAGGAAUGUCACCUAAGUUUGGGACCAGAGGAACAUUAAGCUUCAAAUCUAACAGAGAGAGUCAAGGAAUGUUUGUACAGACGGCUGCACUAACUGCUGGAGAAAAAAGGAAAUUAAAGGAUUUAGCCAAACAUGAUGGCAUCUAUAGAAUACGAGUGCCAACCAGUCUUGAGGCAAACCCUGAUGAUAGCUCUCUCCGGUUCGUUUCAACUUUCACCAGAGCGUGUGCACUUUUACAGUCUCGAUUAUCUGACAACAUCACCGUCAGCGUUGACCAAUCAGGGAACGUUCUGGGGGUAUCUCUAGUGCCAAUGUACGGGUCAUGUGACCUCGACUCCUCUAGCGAAUCAUUAUCAUCCUUAGAUUACUUCAAUACAAGUGUGUCGCUUUCAGUCACGACAGCUGGUCCUAGCCCUGAUACACAAGCAUAUGUGAGGAAAUUAGAAGAUGAACGAGUGAUGAAGGAGAAAGGAAAAGGACCAGAUAAUAGAUCAUUUUUGGCAAAAUAUUGGAUGUACAUUGUCCCAGUGGUUCUAUUUGUCUUGGUAUCAAGCGGAGGAGAGCAGCAGAGAGGAUAAGGCAAGAUUAGCCUAAGAUUAGGAUUAAGAUUAGCCUGAGAUUUAUGCCAUUUGGUGCUAGGCAUCAUGUCUUGGCCUGAACAUGGGAAGUUAAGCCUUACGCACACUACGCGAUCUGAUAAGAUGCAAUUAUUAAACAGUUUGCAUUUCACAUUAACUGCAAAAAAUGCAGAGAGGUGAAUUUAUUUAAGUGAUUGGCAUAUUGCUCGGAAUACUAAAAACAAGAUUCUACAAGACUUGUGGUCAGAAUAAAGUCCAAAUUGACUUGGAGUUGUACAUGGAGUUGCACAUGUAGUUUAUGAUAAUGUCAUUACAAUUUGGACUUGAAUUUGCACUUUUAUAAUAAUUAUAAUACUGUAGUUACAUUUAUAGUGCUUAAUACUUUAUGUUUCUAAGAGUUAAUAAAGUGUAAUUAUUCCUUCUGGGAUGCUUGAAAAAGACUAAGAUUUUUAUUUCAUUAUUCAUAGCACUAUUUGAUUAAGAUUUUACAGGUUCAAAUGUUCAUAUCGAAUACUACUACAAUUUUUGUUGAAAAUCGGAUCGCAACGAAUUGUGUAGUGUGCGCCGGGCUCUAAUGUUUCAUUCUCCUUUAAGUUUCCACACUGCAAUCUAGAGCUCUACUCGAUCAGUCAAACCAGUUGUAGACAUGGGUUCCACAACACAAAGCUUAGCAAUCAAUCAUACUGUUGAAUUUAAUGAUUGAUUAUACAAUGUGGUCAUUGUGAUCAAUCAUAAAAAAAUUGUUCUAUAAUCAUUGCUAUUAAAGCUUUGUGUCAAUGACCCCUGUUGACCCCACUCUGCAAGGUCAUUGGGGUCAGUCUGUCUUGUUGAUGAUGAUGGUGAUUAUGAUGAUGGUGAUUGUGAUGAUGGUGAUGAUGAUUAUAAUUAUGAUGAUGAUUAUGAUGAUGAUAAUGAUAAUGAUGAUGAUGAAGAUGAUGAAGAUGAUGAAUAUGAUGAAGAUGAUGAAGAUGGUGAUGAUGGUGAUGAUGAUGAUGGUGAUGAUGAUGAUGGUGAGGAUGAUAAUGAUGAGGAUGAUGAUGAUAGACAACUUGAUGGCUCUUGAUGACAUGUAAAGAGGAUUGGAUUUUUUUUCAUUGAAAAGUAUGCCAAAAAAAAAAUCCUAAAUCAGAGGAAAGGUAUACAUUUCAACAGAAUAUAAUAUGGUAUGUGUAUAUUUUUCACACUUUCAUGAAAAUAAAAUAUUUGGGGCAUUACUCAGGGUGUGCAAAACACAACAAGAUACUCGUUAACGAUCUUCUGAGAUCAGAGGAUAAUUGUUUGUUGUUGGUACGCUUUGAAGUCCAUGAUUGAGCAUGGUGUCCACUUUGCUAUGACAGUCCGGGGAAAAGGGGGACGGGACAGGCAUUUCUUCCCCGAGAUAUUCAAUUCUUUACAGGAGCCUAAAAGAGAGUGUUAUCUUGUCCCCCGCUCCACUAUUAAAAUUGACUAAAAAAGUCUCAUGAAAUUCCCUCCUAUAGUAAAAAAUUAAAGUGCUGUUUGUGUUUCAAGAAUGGUCUACAGUUGCAUGCAAAAUUAUUUCAACCCCCUUUUAUUCUGCAAUAAAAUAUAAUUUUUGUGUAAAAUUUGCAGUUUUGGAUGGACUAUGAAUCAUUUAGUUUUCACCAGUUGGUAUUCAAUUGUAAUGUGUGAACUUUUAAUACCACUGGAAUCAUUUAGUAAUAUUACUGAUUUUCACAAAAAUUGUCAAAAUAUGAGGGGCAAAGGGGGUUAAUAAGUUUGCCUACAUAUGUAGUGUCAGUGCAUUACAAUCAUUGGAAGUGCAUUGUCUUUCUGUUCAUCAUGUGUCUGUUAUAUUUAAUAUUUAUGUACAUUUAGCCUUCUUUUUCACAUUCAGGAUUUUUUUUUAGAUAGAGAAAUGUUAGUACAUGUACAUUAAUAUAAAAAGGUGUUGUGUAUAAUCUUGAAAAUGUGACAAAGCCAAAACUGCACUUUUAAUGUAGAAUUUAAUUAUUCACUGUGUUUAUCUGAUUACCAAGAAAAAAAAUCAUAUUUUAUUUUUUAGAUAAGGAUUAUUAUAGUCCUACCUGAGAAUAUUUACCCCCUCUAAACAAAUAACAACAAAAAAUGAAAAAAAAACUAAGACUUUAUGCACUUUAAAGUGGAAAGAAACAGUGAAAAUAACAAUAAUAUUUUGAAUGUUUGAGGGAAAAUGGACAAGGAUUUCAAAUUUUAAGAAUAAAUGGUAGAGUCAUCUAGAUUACAAAAAUCUGUUGUAUGUUUAAUAAGUCUUUGCAAAAAAAAUAUUUCAAAGUUCUUAACUUAAUAAACAUUGUGAAUAUGUGGAUGUACAUGUUAUCAGAUAUUUAUGAUCAGCAAUUUUAGGAUUUCAAAUAUUUGUAACUAUUUUACUUGUCAUUUACCUCAAUACUGUCAUCGUCAUAAGUUUCUUUUAAAAAUUAACAGUUUGGAUGAUUUAUUCCAUAUGGCAGGGUGGGCAUAUUUCCUAGUAAAGUUCCCGCCUAGGUGGAAAAUACUGGAAAAAAACUUGUUAAUGUUGGGAAGUAGUUCAGAUGUACAGGGAGGUACAGGCAAAUUUUAAUUCAUUUAAUCAAGAAACAGUUGGGCAAUACUUGAAAAAAUAUUCAAGAAGUACAGUGGUGCUCAAAGAUUAGUGAACCCCACCAGAAGAUAAACGUAUUUAAAGUGUUGAAAUUCUGUCAUGUUUUAGAUAUUUCAUUGUAAAGUCAGGUGAUCAAAUUUUACAUUCAGUAAAGUUUGUUUCUCUGGGCUCGCCAAACAUUGUAGUGUUGUUGUCUACAUUCAACACUCAGCAUGAAGGAGUGCAUUUUAUGGUUGGGGUUCACUAACGUUUGAGUAUAUCUGUAUAAUCCUUAGUAUUUCCUUGCAUUUCCAACUAUUUCUCACUUUCUUAAGGUGGUAUUCACUGGUAUUUACCUCCAGUUUAUACCACUCGGGCCAACGCCGCCCUCUGGAGCACCUCUUACACCAGGACAAUUUUGGUGUAUAAGACUUUAUCUUAUACCCCUUUCAUAAACCCAAUAAAACCUAUCCUCCAAGUAGCCGCCUAAGAGUAAUGCGGAUAAUUCAAUAAAAAUUGCGUUCACAAACUCCGAAAAUUAUCCGCAUUAUUUUUACGAGCGCCCGUCCUGAAAAAGGCGGAUAAUCGUCAUGACAACUGGACACGCCCCCUCCGAUGCGGUUGUGUUGGAAAAGGGUGACCUUGGGACCGCACCAUGGCAAUUAUCCGCAUUAUUUGGAAAUACGUUCAUAAACUCAAAAUCUUGUCCCGAUGCCGCUAUUAUGCGGAUAAUAGCAGCAUCAGAAUAAUGCGGAUAACUCUUGUCCUCCUCUGAUUUUACGACCAAAUUAUGCUGCUAUUAGCCGCAUAAUUGGGUUUUAUUGGGUUUAUGAAAGGGGUAUAAAUGUAUUUAUGACUUUGAUAAAUGUGUAAUGUCAGUUGUAAUUUUUGUACAUCUUUGCCAGGAAUUUAAUAAAACUCCUGGAAUGAUCAAUAAAUGUUGAUAAUUGAUAUAUUCA